AGCGAACGCUGGCGGCAGGCCUAACACAUGCAAGUCGAACGGAUCCUUCGGGAUUAGUGGCGGACGGGUGAGUAACACGUGGGAACGUGCCUUUUGGUUCGGAACAACUCAGGGAAACUUGAGCUAAUACCGGAUAAGCCCUUCGGGGAAGGAUUUAUCGCCAUUAGAGCGGCCCGCGUCUGAUUAGCUAGUUGGUGAGGUAAAGGACUCACCAAGGCUACGAUCAGUAGCUGGUCUGAGAGGAUGAUCAGCCACAUUGGGACUGAGACACGGCCCAAACUCCUACGGGAGGCAGCAGUGGGGAAUCUUGCGCAAUGGGCGAAAGCCUGACGCAGCCAUGCCGCGUGAAUGAUGAAGGUCUUAGGAUU
rnacentral:rRNA from 1 species